rnacentral:tRNA from 1 species
GGGGAUUUAGCUCAGUGGCAUAAGCACCUGCCUUGCAAGCAGGCAGCCAUGAGUUUGAUCCCUG